UACAGAGGGUGCGAGCGUUAAUCGGAAUUACUGGGCGUAAAGCGCACGUAGUCGGCUUUGCAAGUCGGGUGUGAAAUCCCCGGGCUCAACCUGGGAACUGCAUCCGAGACUGCAUUGCUAGAGUAUGGGAGAGGGAAGCGGAAUUUCUGGUGUAGCAGUGAAAUGCGUAGAUAUCAGAAGGAACAUCAGUGGCGAAGGCGGCUCACUGGCCCGGUACUGACGCUGAGGUGCGAAAGCGUGGGGAGCAAACAGG
rnacentral:rRNA from 1 species